UACGUAGGGUGCAAGCGUUGUCCGGAAUUAUUGGGCGUAAAGAGCUCGUAGGCGGUUUGUCGCGUCUGCUGUGAAAACCCCGAGGCUCAACCUCGGGCCUGCAGUGGGUACGGGCAGACUAGAGUGCGGUAGGGGGAGAUUGGAAUUCCUGGUGUAGCGGUGGAAUGCGCAGGAUAUCAGGAGGAACACCGAUGGCGAAGGCA
rnacentral:rRNA from 1 species